UGUCCUAUAGCUCAGUGGUUAGAGCGGUGGCCUUAUAAGCCAUGUGUCAAGGGUUCGACUCCCUUUAGGGCAA
rnacentral:tRNA from 1 species